UGCCAGCCGCCGCGGUAAUACGGAGGGUGCAAGCGUUAAUCGGAAUUACUGGGCGUAAAGCGCGCGUAGGCGGUUUGGUAAGUGUGAUGUGAAAGCCCAGGGCUCAACCUUGGAACUGCAUCCCAUACUGCCAGGCUAGAGUACGGGAGAGGGGGGUAGAAUUCCACGUGUAGCGGUGAAAUGCGUAGAGAUGUGGAGGAAUACCAGUGGCGAAGGCGGCCCCCUGGCUCGAUACUGACGCUGAGGUGCGAAAGCGUGGGGAGCAAACAGGAUUAGAUA
rnacentral:rRNA from 1 species